GAGGGACAGAAAGGGAGAGAAAGAGAGCUAGCGUGAGUGUGUGAGAGAGACAGACGUUACAGCGAGGAAUAAUCAAUACAAUCUAAGAUGGUGGAAACAGCCAUGCUGUUUCGGUCUCUCUCUCUCUGGUUAACUAUUUGGCUUGCUUACUCUUCAUGUAAAUCAGUUCAUGGAUUCGGUUAGGACAAAUUAUUAAGACCAUCUUACUUUCUAUUUUAUUCCUCCUCUAUUUUAAACAAGAAGAAUCAGCAUCUCUGGGGGGUUUCUCGAAAUUUUGUCCGAACAGUUGAAUGCAUUUUACCGGGCAUGUGGCAGCUGUUUUUCCUCGAGGAAAAGCAGUGAAGUCUCACCCAAAAAUGCUUAUCAGCCUUUUGACUUUGUGCCAAAAUAGCUGCAAGGGUUCAGCUGCAGCGUUCAGCUCGCUUUGUGACAGAGCUGGGGCAAGGAGGAGGGUCCUAGCCCUGCGUUCUUUGCCACAUGUUACUGAAAUAAACACUGUUGAAGCUUAUCUUUUUCCUGUGUGUAUGUGUUCGUGUGCGUCUGGUCUAUUCUGUGCAUUCACUGUGGCAUGCUAAAGAGUUAAUACACUCUGAGAGUGUGUGCUCCUUUCAGAGUGUGCUUCCAAGGCUGUUCCAGCGGCAAGAGCCCCACUACAGUAAGAGUUAAGGUUAAUCAUUUAACCAGCUCUCAAAAGUGUUGCAUAUUUCUAGGAUCCUUCGACAGGGCAGUCCAUUAUGAAUGCAUUCUCUUUUUCCUAUUUUUUAUUAGUUCAUAUAGUAGCUGAGGUACUGUAUAGUGUAUCCCAGUAUGGCGUGUAAGUGUGUGGACUGCGUCUGCGCACUGUUGGAGGAGUGGAUUUCUGUGUCAUUAUUCCUCCUCCACCCCUCCCACAUUUAGUGCUUUCCACCCUCCCACUCUCCCUCUCUCUCUCUCUCUCUCUCUCUUUCCUUCUGUGUCUCCGUCUCCCACCCAUCUUAUGCUCCCUCCCUCCCAUCCUCCCUCCUUCUCCCCCGUCUCCGGUGCAAAUACAGUUCCUUGCCGUGUUGGACAUGUGAUGAAAAAGUGACUCGUUCGCGCGCUCCGCCGCACCUCCUAUUUCAUCAUCAGCGGAGCAUUUCUCCCCUUCACUGUGCGCUCGCUGUCUCCUCCUCUCUUCCUCUCUCUCUCUCUCUCUCUCUCUCUCCCUCUCUCUCUCUCUCUCUCUUCUUUUUCCCUCUCUGUUUCGCUUGCUCCCCUCUUUCUGCUCCAGCCACACGCAAGGGGGAGACUUAAGCUCUGCAAGAGGAAAAAAAAGAAAAAAAGUCUGCUGCUAUUUCUACAGUCAGGGCCUCCCCACAGCCCGCCCUUCCAUAGACGGAGCUUUUUUUCACUCACUACUAGCUGGAUUUUAACCCUCUGCCUCCAACUAGCUGCACAGCAGCUCUGCAAAACCUGGCAACAAGUUGCUUUUUAGGGGCCUUUUCUCACUUUGGGCACAUUGAUUUUUGCAUCACUUUGGAUUUGGGUGCUGUUUUUUCCGCUCUUUGGUAUUUUUUUUUUUUUUUUUAAUGCACUGCAUCUUCGUAUUUUUUCUCUGCUGAUGGGUUUCUAGUAGUAUGUACUGUAUUUAGUUUCUUUCUUUUUGGAUGGAAAUUCGUCAAGGUGGUGUUUCGCCAUGUGAUGGGCCUUGUUCCACCUGGAGUGUUGAGGCGCCAUUUCUGACGGGUAACCUGCUUGGGGUUGGCUCUUAGUCUGGAUGACCACUAUGGAUGACAAGCAGAGAAUUUGACCAGUAUCUGAGCGCGGUACACAUCUGUGUUUUAAAGACCUUCAUCAGCAACUGGCGUGAAGUACUGCACCUCCUUCAUCUUUAUGCCUGUCUCUCCUUCUAUUUCCUUCCCAUGUCCCUCUCUCUCUCUCUCUCUCGCUCUCUCUCUCUCUCUCUCUCUCUCUCUCUCUCUCUCUCUCUCUUUCUCUGUCUCUCACUCCCCCUUGUUCUCUCUCUUUCACACUGACUUGCUCUCCUAACAGGAGAAUGAGUGGUGUGCUGAGCCGGAGCCCUUUCUGGGACAGGUGCCAACUGCAAACAAAAGACAUUAAAAGGCAAUAAGAGAAAAAAAAAAUUGUAAUUGCGAAAUAUUAUCAUAUUGUUGAUAGUGAAAUGACAGAAGUAGCCUUGCAUGUUGUGUUUCUACAUGGCCACUUUGCGCUAUUAUUGCAUGUUUGUAUGAAGUAUUAAAACUGAUUUUUGGUAAAACAGAGGUUUGAAUACUUUGCCACACUUAUUCUAGUGAAGGCAUUUAAUUUGGGAAGAGGGAGGGAGUAAUGUGGGAGAGCAGCAUAUAGACUGCUGAAUUAUUCAUGUGCCCAGCCAAGGCUGUGACUGGACUGGUUGUGCUAUUUGCAUGCAUCAGACAUGCUGUUUGUCUGUUUGCUAACAUUCCUCAUUCAAAGACUUGUUAACUAGCAGACGGGCUUAGCUAGAGCCUUGCAGACAGCCUCAUGGCCUCCUAUUGUUUCAGGCCUCAGCAGGCCUGGACCCAGCCAGUGGCGGGCGAGCCGUGCAGCCCUGAGCUUGUGGCUCAGAGUGUGGUUGGAAGAGGGAGUGAGGCUGGAGCUGAGAUUCAGGCUGGGGUUCAGGCUGGAGCAUUACGCUGAGGCACGGCCGUGGAGGGGACAGGCUGAGGGAAAUCUCUUGGUCUAGCAAGAACCACCAAACGAGAGCUUAUGGCUUUCUCCUCUUCUUGACAGAGAUGUGGAUCAAAGCGGGAAGAACAUGCCGAGUUUCCCAUCCCGACCGACAUUUCAAAAAUUGGCAGUAAGAUGGGUUUGGACUUCAGCCACAGGCACAAAAAAUUUGACCAACAAGUGAAAUCAUGGACAGACAGACUGGCGAUUGCAGCAGCAUUAAGUAACAGAUCUUCCCUCUCGGGGAUUUUCAGACGAAGGCUACCUGACAUGCUGCUGAAACCGUGAUGGAGGUUUCAACCCCCCCCCCCCUUCGCUGCGUGUUACAGAGCAGGUGAGAAACAUUAACAGCGGCAGCAUCUGCGGCCCUCUGCUCUGCACAUGUGGGAUAUGCGUCAGCUUAAGCUUGCCCACUGUCAACACUGGUCACUUUUGUUAACACGCUCCUUUCUGAAGCACACAAACAGUACUGAGAAAGAAGGGAUACGAUUGUUAUACAAUUAUUUACUUUUUUUACAAUGUAUUGUAUCUACUUGCAACCUCACGUCACAUGUAGUUCAACCAAAGAGGGAUUUUUCAUUCACGAAAAUAUGGUCUGCUUAUUUUAAAAUGGACAAUAUUUAAUGAAAGGAACAUUUUAAUAGUUUUGAGGUUUAACAAUUUCCCGUAAAAUCCUUAUUUUGUAUUUCACAGUACCCUUUAAGUUAUUUGCUGGUCACAUUUGAAUAUGGAAAUAUCUAGUCCUUACAAUUUGUUUGGGACAUAUCCACCUUGUUGGUUCAUUUGAAUUCCCCCUGAGCUUGAGCCAUGAACCCGGGUGACCCAGUCUUCACAUUGUGUUCUGAACACACAGACUCCAGUCCCAGAGGAGAGUGGCAUGUGUAUUUGUGUUUCAGUGAGUCAUAACCGCUGAUUUGCAUUCAUCAAAGUGUGUCAAAGCGGAUUACCUGCAUGAACGGGGACCUGAAAUGAUUUAGUUAUUAAAGACUGUCCUUUGGGGUGAGGUAGUAGGUUGUAUAGUUUUAGGGUCAUACCCUUCCUGUCAGAUAACUAUACAACUUACUGUCUUUCCUGAAGUGGCUGUAAUGUCAUCAGAUGCCGUUGUUGGAGCUUUUGGAUCUGGAUCAACACUGCAAUGUGCAUGUUUACCCACUGACUGCUAAGAACAUAACUCAUUUACAGCAUUUGAUACUGGUAGGUCAUUUAGGAUUCUAGUUGCUUUACGUCGUUUUCUCAUGAUUUUCAUGGUUGUACUUUAAGACUUUAUGAUCAAUAAAAAAAUGGCAAAAAUAAUGUCUUCUUCACUGUAUAUUGUGUUAAUUUCCACACAAACCUGCUCUCAUCUAGUUGUCAUCCUCUUUUCUUAGCUCUUAUUUCUGUCUUUUUUAAUUGUCUUUUAUGAUCAUCACAGGAUUUUAGGAUUUUGUCAAAGCUCUCUGGCUAUCCUCAAACUGUUCUGACUGCAUGUAAUGUUAGUGUUUUAGAAAUUAAAACUCAACUUAGUCAUCGUCUGUCAUUGUUAGUUACUUUAGAUAUCAAGUGUGUUUAUCUUCAAAAUGUAAAAAAUGUAUGAGGAUGUUUUAUAAGAACAUGUACAGUGUUUAUAUAUGUCACUCCACCUUAAUACUCUCCAGUAUAAGUUACACCCAAGCUUGCCAACCUGUACGACCUUUCUGAUGUUCGAACGGGAUGAGGUAGUAGGUUGUGUGGUUUCAGGGUAGUGAUUUUGCCCAAUCAGGAGAUAACUAUACAACCUACUGCCUUCCCUGAAGGGCAGCAAUACGUCACCAUAGAGACGACAGGGGGCAUAUUAUUCAUGGCAUCAGAAAAACUCCCAAAAUCAACAAACCUGCACCCUGUCCACUUCUUACCUGGAGCAUAGGCGCAACGGACAAUCAUAGCAGCAGAGAGGAUCAGCAGGUAAUGUCUGUUCAUUAAGGGAUUUGUCUUUGAUUUGUUUAUUCAAACUGUGUGUUUCAAAUGAAUAAAGAAUAAGGUAAUUAAUA